CAGGUGUGGCUGCACCCAGUGGGGUGUGAUCAGAGAACGGCCUGUCUGCUGGGGAAGGCGGUUGGGUUUGUCUGAGCCACACCGGACCCAUCCCUGACCAGCAGGCACGUUCUGGAGAUGCGUGGCGGAGACAGGGCCUCUGUGGGAGCCAUUGAGGUGUGAGGGCUGGGGUGCAGCCUCCAGCUUCUGCUCGCAGAGCGGGACCUGCAGGAGCUCGCUGACUGCUGCACAGUGGGAGGGAGACUGUCUCUUUUACUUUCCUUGAGGAGAAGAAGUGAAAGUUCUGAGCAAAUGCAUGGCGAGGGAGUUCCAGGCGGCUGGCGUUAGUGGGCCUGGAACUGGACGCACACACCGGGUCUCGAGGCCGCCCCUUCUCGGUCUUAAUGAAAGUCCAGGCACUCCAAGGACGAACAAAUAUUUAAACAGCAGCUUCACUUUGAAGGGAAGGAAACGGCUGCAGAAAGGGUGCGGGCGUCGGGGCAGUCGGGGCCGCGGCCAGUGGGCAGCACUGGGAGAUGAAACCAGCGAUGGCGCAGAAAGAACUCGGCGCUGCGGAGGCAAUGGUGGCCCGAGGAGGCCCCUGACCCAUGGGGAGCGGCCGCAGCCUCCAGCCCCGGGCCUCCUCCCCUCGGUUUCCCGGUGACUCUGCAGCCCCCUCUGGGGUCUCUCCUGCUUCCCCCUCAAUCCGAGGGAGACCCUGGGAAAGUGGGCCUGUUAUAAUUGCAAAAAAUAAACCAUCAGUAGCUACAAAAGACACAGACACACUGAGACGGCGUGAAAAGGACUUGGGGCUGGUGUGGUGGCUCAUGCCUGUAAUCCCAGCACUUUGGGAGGCUGAGGCGUGUGAGCCCAGGAGUUUGGGACCAGCCUGGGCAACAUAGUGAGACCCUGUCUCUACAAAACA
rnacentral:lncRNA from 1 species